rnacentral:rRNA from 1 species
ACGAAGGGUGCGAGCGUUAAUCGGAAUUACUGGGCGUAAAGCGCGCGUAGGUGGUUUGGUAAGCGAUAUGUGAAAUCCCCGGGCUUAACCUGGGAAUGGCAUUUGGGACUGCAAGGCUUGAGUGCGGCAGAGGAGACUGGAAUUCCUGGUGUAGCAGUGAAAUGCGUAGAUAUCAGGAGGAACACCGAUGGCGAAGGCAGGUCUCUGGGCUGACACUGACGCUCAUGCACGAAAGCGUGGGGAGCAAACAGGA